CUCGGUUACCAAAUAGUAUUCUAACACAUUUCUUCUGAGUGAUAAAUAUUGGUUCAAGCCUGUUGUUACUAAGGCCACCCCAUACUGAUAUCCCAAAUCGCAAGUGUGAUUCAAAUAGUGUGUAGUACAGUUCUUUGUAGAGUUUUUCUGGAAUAAUGUGCCGUAUUCUACAAAUUUUCCCACUUUCACAUUUCAGCUUUGUGUUGAGCGACCGUAUAUGAGCAUCCCAUUUAAGCUGAUCAUCAAUAAUAACACCAAGAAACUUCACCUUUUUGACUUGCUUUAUUACUACAUUGUUUAGAGUCAAUUCUGCUAGAGUCCAAGUUUCUAUCAAAGAUUUGGAAGAUGGGUGAGUGGUGUGAUAUACGGUCAGUCAGUAUUCCAGAAGCUACUAUACUCUCUACGUCGUAACUACACUUGGGGAGACUGUCAAGGAUGUCAGAGAGUUCAGAUAGUGCAACAUUGACAUUACCACUUGGAGGACGGUACAUUACACCAACUGUUACUGGGGAAGUUGUACUACUUACGGCCACAAAAAGAGUUUCUAAAUGUUCAGUGAUAUGGGAUACAUUGCCGUUUACUCUGGCACUAAGAGUGUCACAAACAUAGAGAGCCACUCCAGUGCCCUUUUUUUAUCUGGUAUUGUGUUUUGGUAGAAACUGUUGUAUCCAGUUAAUUGAUACAAACUGCUGGAUUCAGGACCUUCAUUUGUUUCCGCUAAGGCUAUGAUCGAGAAUUUCUUGGUGAGCCUAUGGGAUUCAAUAGCGAAAGUGUCGAAAUUUGACUUAUUGCCGUCGAUGUUUUGGAAGAGAAGCGAUGAAAAUUCAUUCAUUUGAUUAUCUAGUGCUUUGUUGAAUUCCUUGACAUUGUACGAUACGCAGUUAUUUAGUAUUUGAUCUACUUUUAUGAUAGUGUCAUCCACUUCACUACUUUCAAUAUCACUUAAAUUAGUGCAUGCAAGUCGAAAUGGAUUGUAACGAAUAACUGCUAAAUGUACGCACUUGGGACAGUAAAAAUCGUCAGAUAAUGUGUCAUUGUUAAUGGAUUUGGUAUAGCACUUAUGGUGCAUUGGGCAGUCGCAUUCACAGCAUUCAACAAUGAAUUGUCCUACGUUAAUGAACUUCGCACAGACUAGGCAUACCUCUUUACUCAGGGGAGUCAGAAUGGCUGGUAACCAUCCUGGUGUCGAGACUCAGCAGCAGUAGUAGAACCCGUCCCA